rnacentral:rRNA from 1 species
UCUUUUUGUUAUAUUUUUAAAGUCUGGCCUGCCCCCUGAUUAUUUAAAUGGCCGCGGUAUUUUGACCGUGCUAAGGUAGCAUAAUCAUUAGUUUUUUAAUUGAAAGCUGGAAUGAAGGGUUGUAUGAAAAAAUAACUGUCUUUAAUUAACUAUUUUAGAAUUUUAUUUUUAAGUUAAAAAGCUUAAAUAUAUUUAAAAGACGAGAAGACCCUAUAGAGUUUAAUUUUUUAUAUUAAUAAAUAUUUUUAGAAUUUAUAAUUUUAUUAUUUAUAGGGAAUUUAAUUGGGGUGAUUAAAAAAUUUAUUGAACUUUUUUUUUAUGUAGAUAUUUAUAUAUAGUUUCAUGAUCCAAUUUUUUUGAUUAUAAGAAAAAUUACCUUAGGGAUAACAGCGUAAUUUUAUUUUAAAGUUCUAAUUGAAAAUAAGGAUUCCGACCUCGAUGUUGGAUUAAAA